UGGAGUACUUAUCAGGAGUACUGACUGGACUGGGCUGUCCAUUCACACAGGAAUCUGAUGGAUCUCAAAGUCCAGUUUGGGAGCUAUGAUGUUAUCCCCAUUGUCAACUUCACCGGAUUUAGAGGAUGUCCGCAAUAGUGUUUAGCAAAUAAUUUAAGAACUCGUGAGCAUCCUGCUGCAUGUAGUUAUCAAAGAGAUCUGGAAAGGAGAAAGUCAUCAUUUCACACUCUGCGUCUUCAAGAGCGAACAGACGUAUUUAGCUUUGCGCGACAAGCUUCAGUAACGAUAUCCAAAGACUGGGCAGGCGCGGCAUACAAAUGUACUUCGUCUCAACUGUGCAGUUACAAGAGAGUAACUUCUCAGAGUUUCCUACCACCCACCAAAAACUAGUAUCCCUUAGCUCCCUCUAGUCAUGUACAAUAAUGAUCCAAAGUUUAACUCAUUCUAGAAAAAGAACCAAAAUUAUGAGACAAAAACCUUGAUUAAAUAUCUAUUGGUUUUGCCUGCA
ensembl:antisense Usp46os1 ubiquitin specific peptidase 46, opposite strand 1